rnacentral:rRNA from 1 species
GCCAGAGGUGCCGAGCGUUAGGCGGAAUCACUGGGCUUAAAGCGUGUGUAGGCGGAUCGUUAAGUGCCUUGUGAAAUCCCGCGGCUCAACCGUGGAACUGCUUGGCAUACUGGCGAUCUUGAGCCACUUAGGGGCUACCGGAACAAAUGGUGGAGCGGUGAAAUGCGUAGAUAUCAUUUGGAACGCCAAUGGUGAAAACAGGUAGCUGGGAGUGUGCUGACGCUGAGACACGAAAGCCAGGGGAGCAAACGGG